AUUGAACGCUGGCGGCAGGCCUAACACAUGCAAGUCGAGCGAGCGGCGGACGGGUGAGUAAUGUAUGGGGACUGCCCGAUAGAGGGGGAUAACUACUGGAAACGGUAGCUAAUACCGCAUACUAUCGGAUAACCCAUAUGGGAUUAGCUAGUUGGUGGGGUAAAGGAUCACCAAGGCAACGAUCCGUAGCUGGUUUGAGAGGACGACCAGCCACACUGGGACUGAGACACGGCCCAGACUCCUACGGAGGCAGCAGUGGGGAAUUUUGGACAAUGGGGGAAACCCUGAGCCAGCCAUCCCGCGUGUAUGAUGAAGGCCUUCGGGUUGUAAAGUACUUUUGGCAGAGAAGCGUUACCGACAGAAGAAGCACCGGCUAACUCCGUGCCAGCAGCCGCGGUAAUAC
rnacentral:rRNA from 1 species